rnacentral:rRNA from 1 species
UCGAGAAUCUUCGGCAAUGGGCGCAAGCCUGACCGAGCGACGCCGCGUGCGGGAUGAAGGCCUUCGGGUUGUAAACCGCUGUCAGAGGGGAUGAAAUGCGGGUGGGUUCUCCCAUCCGUUUGACAUAGCCUCAGAGGAAGGACGGGCUAAGUUCGUGCCAGCAGCCGCGGUAAGACGAACCGUCCAAACGUUAUUCGGAAUUACUGGGCUUAAAGGGUGCGUAGGCGGCGCGGAAAGUUGGGUGUGAAAUCCCUCGGCUCAACCGAGGAACUGCGCUCAAUACUACCGUGCUCGAGGGAGAUAGAGGUGAGCGGAACUUAGGGUGGAGCGGUGAAAUGCGUUGAUAUCCUAAGGAACACCGGUGGCGAAAGCGGCUCACUGGAUCUCUUCUGACGCUGAGGCACGAAAGCUAGGGUAGCGAACGGG